rnacentral:rRNA from 1 species
GUGGGGAAUUUUGGACAAUGGGCGCAAGCCUGAUCCAGCAAUGCCGCGUGCAGGAAGAAGGCCUUCGGGUUGUAAACUGCUUUUGUACGGAACGAAACGGCUCUGGUUAAUACCCGGGGCUAAUGACGGUACCGUAAGAAUAAGCACCGGCUAACUACGUGCCAGCAGCCGCGGUAAUACGUAGGGUGCAAGCGUUAAUCGGAAUUACUGGGCGUAAAGCGUGCGCAGGCGGUUUUGUAAGACAGGCGUGAAAUCCCCGGGCUCAACCUGGGAAUGGCGCUUGGGACUGCAAAGCUGGAGUGCGGCAGAGGGGGAUGGAAUUCCGCGUGUAGCAGUGAAAUGCGUAGAUAUGCGGAGGAACACCGAUGGCGAAGGCAAUCCCCUGGGCCUGCACUGACGCUCAUGCACGAAAGCGUGGGGAGCAAACAGGAUUAGAAACCCGGGUAGUCC